rnacentral:rRNA from 1 species
UUGUUCGUGAAAUCUCACGGCUUAACUGUGAGCGUGCGGGCGAUACGGGCAGACUUGAGUACUGCAGGGGAGACUGGAAUUCCUGGUGUAGCGGUGGAAUGCGCAGAUAUCAGGAGGAACACCGGUGGCGAAGGCGGGUCUCUGGGCAGUAACUGACGCUGAGGAGCGAAAGCGUGGGGAGCGAACAGGAUUAGAUACCCUGGUAGUCCACGCCGUAAACGGUGGGUACUAGGUGUGGGUUUCCUUCCUUGGGAUCCGUGCCGUAGCUAACGCAUUAAGUACCCCGCCUGGGGAGUACGGCCGCAAGGCUAAAACUCAAAGAAAUUGACGGGGGCCCGCACAAGCGGCGGAGCAUGUGGAUUAAUUCGAUGCAACGCGAAGAACCUUACCUGGGUUUGACAUGCACAGGACGCCGGCAGAGAUGUCGGUUCCCUUGUGGCCUGUGUGCAGGUGGUGCAUGGCUGUCGUCAGCUCGUGUCGUGAGAUGUUGGGUUAAGUCCCGCAACGAGCGCAACCCUUGUCUCAUGUUGCCAGCGGGUAAUGCCGGGGACUCGUGAGAGACUGCCGGGGUCAACUCGGAGGAAGGUGGGGAUGACGUCAAGUCAUCAUGCCCCUUAUGUCCAGGGCUUCACACAUGCUACAAUGGCCGGUACAAAGGGCUGCGAUGCCGCGAGGUUAAGCGAAUCCUUUUAAAGCCGGUCUCAGUUCGGAUCGGGGUCUGCAACUCGACCCAGUGAAG